UAAUCUGUGUUAGUAGACAGGUACCCAGUCUAAUCUGUGUUAGUAGACAGGUACCCAGUCUAAUCUGUGUUAGUAGACAGGUACCCAGUCUAAUCUGUGUUAGUAGACAGGUACCCAGUCUAAUCUGUGUUAGUAGACAGGUACCCAGUCUAAUCUGUGUUAGUAGACAGGUACCCAGUCUAAUCUGUGUUAGUAGACAGGUACCCAGUCUAAUCUGUGUUAGUAGACAGGUACCCAGUCUAAUCUGUGUUAGUAGACAGGUACCCAGUCUAAUCUGUGUUAGUAGACAGGUACCCAGUCUAAUCUGUCUAAUCUGUGUUAGUAGACAGGUACCCAGUCUAAUCUGUGUUAGUAGACAGGUACCCAGUCUAAUCUGUCUAAUCUGUGUUAGUAGACAGGUACCCAGUCUAAUCUGUGUUAGUAGACAGGUACCCAGUCUAAUCUGUGUUAGUAGACAGGUACCCAGUCUAAUCUGUGUUAGUAGACAGGUACCCAGUCUAAUCUGUGUUAGUAGACAGGUACCCAGUCUAAUCUGUC